CAGCAGCCACGGUAAUGCGUAGGUGGCAAGCGUUGUCCGGAAUUAUUGGGCGUAAAGGGCUCGCAGGCGGUUUCUUAAGUCUGAUGUGAAAGCCCCCGGCUCAACCGGGGAGGGUCAUUGGAAACUGGGAAACUUGAGUGCAGAAGAGGAGAGUGGAAUUCCACGUGUGGCGGUGAAAUGCGUAGAGAUGUGGAGGAACACCAGUGGCGAAGGCGACUCUCUGGUCUGUAACUGACGCUGAGGCUCGAAAGCGUGGGGAGCAAACAGGAUUAGAUACCCCUGUAGUCCCUGUCUCUUAUAU
rnacentral:rRNA from 1 species